rnacentral:tRNA from 1 species
GCGGCAUUCGUCCAAUAGCAGGAUGCCAGCGUGCCAAGCUGGAGACCCCGGAGCGUUACCGGGAUGCCGCACCA